CCUACGGGUGGCUGCAGUGAGGAAUAUUGGUCAAUGGCCGGAAGGCUGAACCAGCCAAGCCGCGUGAGGGAGGAAGGCGCAGAGCGUCGCAGACCUCUUUUGCCGGGGGACAAAAGGCCGGACUCGUCCGGUCCUGACGGUACCUGACUAAGCAGCCCCGGCUAACUACGUGCCAGCAGCCGCGGUAAUACGGAGGGGGCAAGCGUUAUCCGGAUUUACUGGGUGUAAAGGGAGCGUAGACGGCUGUGCAAGCCAGAUGUGAAAGCCCGGGGCUCAACCCCGGGACUGCAUUUGGAACUGUGUGGCUGGAGUGUCGGAGAGGCAGGCGGAAUUCCUAGUGUAGCGGUGAAAUGCGUAGAUAUUAGGAGGAACACCAGUGGCGAAGGCGGCCUGCUGGACGAUGACUGACGUUGAGGCUCGAAAGCGUGGGGAGCAAACAGGAUUAGAUACCCUUGUAGUC
rnacentral:rRNA from 1 species